UUGAAUGUUUCUCGAUGGGUUGUUGCUGGCCUUUAGUGGGCAUGUGCACGCCUGUCCUGACACUAUUCAUCCACCUGUGCACUCAUUGUAGUCUUUGUUGAAGCAUUAAGUAAAGCAGCUGAGCUGUGGAACUGCUUCCUUCAAAGGCUAUGUCUUUAUACAUCACACCAUGUAGUAUGUUGACCGAAUGUGUAUUCUAAUGGACCUCUGUGUCCAUAAAACUCUAUA
rnacentral:misc_RNA from 1 species